CCUACGGGGAGCUGCAGUGGGGAAUAUUGCGCAAUGGGCGAAAGCCUGACGCAGCGACGCCGCGUGAGGGAUGAAGGUCUUCGGAUCGUAAACCUCUGUCAGCAGGGAAGCACGGUCACUGUGCUAAUCAGCAGUGAAUUGACGGUACCUGCAAAGGAAGCACCGGCUAACUCCGUGCCAGCAGCCGCGGUAAUACGGGGGGUGCGUGCGUUAACCGGAAUUACUGGGCGUAAAUCGCUCGUAGGCGGUUUUUCAAGUCAAGGGUGAAAUCCACUCUCUCAACGUGGGAACUGCCUUUGAAACUGGCAAACUGGAGUGUGUGAGAGGAUAGUGGAAUGCCAGGUGUAGGAGUGA
rnacentral:rRNA from 1 species